GUUUACAGCCAUGUCACCCUGAAUAUGCCCGAUCUCAUCUGAUCUCGGAAGCUAAGCAGGGUUGGGCCUGGUUAGUAUUUGAAUGGGAGACCACCUAAGAAGACCAAGUGUUGAGGUGU
rnacentral:rRNA from 1 species